rnacentral:lncRNA from 1 species
UGAAGGUUUGGUGUAAUCAUGUUCGUCUAAAAUUAUUCUUGCUGCCCUUUUUUGCAGUUUUAGUAAACUAUCUAAUAGAAAGUUAUUACAGUUUCCCCAUAUUGAACAACAAUAAUCUAAUGCUGGUCAAUAAAGCUGAAAUGACGAUAUUUUAGUGAACGAUAGCAGAUAUGAAACAGAUGUGUCAAUAGAUAUAGGAAGAUGUGGUAUGAGUGCCAAUGAGACAACUCUCAAUCCAAGUAACAAUUUUUAAAAGUAACAAUUAUAGGCCAAGAUAGGGCCUUCAACACGGAGCCUUGGCUUACACCGAACAGCAAGAUAUAAAAGGCCCCAAAAAUUACUAGUGUAAAACCAUUCAAACGGGAAAACCAACGGUCUAUUCUAUAUGAAAACAAGAAUCAUGGUUGAACCGUUAGAGAAAAUGGGUAAGAAGUCCCAAUUACAUACAGA